UCCCUGGUGGCUCAGACGGUAAAGCAUCUGCCUGCAAUGCGGGAGACCCAGGUUCAAUUCCUGGGUUGGGAA
rfam:Ovis aries breed Texel chromosome 3, whole genome shotgun sequence.